rnacentral:rRNA from 1 species
GUGCCAGCCGCCGCGGUAAUACGAAGGGGGCUAGCGUUGUUCGGAUUUACUGGGCGUAAAGCGCACGUAGGCGGGUCGUUAAGUCAGGGGUGAAAUCCCGGAGCUCAACUCCGGAACUGCCUUUGAUACUGGCGACCUUGAGGCCGGAAGAGGUUAGUGGAAUUCCCAGUGUAGAGGUGAAAUUCGUAGAUAUUGGGAAGAACACCAGUGGCGAAGGCGGCUAACUGGUCCGGAUCUGACGCUGAGGUGCGAAAGCGUGGGGAGCAAACAGGAUUAGAAACCCUCGUAGUCC